rnacentral:rRNA from 1 species
GUCAAUCUGCUCAAUGAAUUUUUUUAAUAGCUGCAGUAUAUUGACUGUACAAAGGUAGCAUAAUAAAUUGUCUUUUAAUUGAAGAAUGGAAUGAAAGAAUUAAUGAAAUAUAAACUGUCUCUAUUAUAUUUAAUAAAAUUAAAUUUUUAGUUAAAAUGCUAAAAUUAAAUUAUGGGACGAUAAGACCCUAUAGAAUUUUAUAUUAUUAAUAAAAUUCAAUAAAAUUUUAUUUUUAUUUUAUUAAUAAUAUUUUAUUGGGAAGAUUAAUAAAUUAAAUUAACUUUAUUAAAAUAAUAACUUUGAUUUAAGAAAAUUAAAUUGAUAAAAUUAUAUUAAUUAAUAAAUUAAAUUACCUUAGGGAUAACAGCGUAAUAUCUUUUAUAAGAUCAUAUUAAUAAAGAUGUUUGCGACCUCGAUGUUGAAUUAAGAUAAAUUUUAAAUGAAGAAAUUUAAUAAUUAAGUCUGUUCGACUUUUAAAAUCUUACAUGAUUUGAGUUC